rnacentral:tRNA from 1 species
GGUCCGGUAGUUCAGUCUGGUUAGAAUACCUGCCUGUCACGCAGGGGGUCGCGGGUUCGAGUCCCGUCCGGACCG